rnacentral:rRNA from 1 species
UCUGGACUGUGUCUGACGCUGAGAUGCGAAAGCCAGGGUAGCGAACGGGAUUAGAUACCCCCGUAGUCCUGCCCGUAAACGAUGGGUACUAGGUGUGGGAGGUAUCGACCCCUUCCGUGCGGGAGUUAACGCAAUAAGUACCCCGCCUGGGGAGUACGGCCGCAAGGCUUAAACUCAAAGGAAUUGACGGGGGCCCGCACAAGCGGUGGAGUAUGUGGUUUAAUUUGACGCAACGCGAAGAACCUUACCAGGGCUUGACAUCGACUGAAAGAUGCAGAGAUGUAUCCCUCUCUUCGGAGACAGGAAGACAGGUGGUGCAUGGCUGUCGUCAGCUCGUGUCUUGAGAUGUUGGGUUAAGUCCCGCAACGAGCGCAACCCCUUUCCUAUGUUACCAUCAUUGAGUUGGGGACUCAUAGGAGACUGCCAGGGACAACCUGGAGGAAGGCGGGGAUGACGUCAAGUCAUCAUGCCCCUUAUGUCCUGGGCUACACACGUACUACAAUGGCCGGCAACAGAGGGAAGCGAAGCCGCGAGGCGGAGCGAACCCCAAAAACCCGGUCCCAGUUCGGACCGCAGGCUGCAACCCGCCUGCGUGAAGUCG